GGGUGGGUUAGCUCAGUGAUAAGAACUUAGGUCUUGUGAUCGGAAGGUCCCGGGAUCGAAUCCCGCCUAAGGCA
rnacentral:tRNA from 1 species